rnacentral:rRNA from 1 species
GACGAACGCGUGGCGGCGUGCUUAACACAUGCAAGUCGAGCGGUAAGGCCCUUCGGGGUACACGAGCGGCGAACGGGUGAGUAACACGUGGGUGACCUGCCCUCAGCUCUGGGAUAAAGCCUGGGAAACCGGGUCUAAUACCGGAUAUGACUCCAUGACGCAUGUUGUGGGGUGGAAAGCCUUGUGCGGCUGAGGAGUGGGCCCGCGGCCUAUCAGCUUGUUGGUGGGGUGA